ACACAUGCAAGUCGAGGGGCAGCAUGGUCUUAGCUUGCUAAGGCCGAUGGCGACCGGCGCACGGGUGAGUAACACGUAUCCAACCUGCCGUCUACUCUUGGACAGCCUUCUGAAAGGAAGAUUAAUACAAGAUGGCAUCAUGAGUCCGCAUGUUCACAUGAUUAAAGGUAUUCCGGUAGACGAUGGGGAUGCGUUCCAUUAGAUAGUAGGCGGGGUAACGGCCCACCUAGUCUUCGAUGGAUAGGGGUUCUGAGAGGAAGGUCCCCCACAUUGGAACUGAGACACGGUCCAAACUCCUACGGGAGGCAGCAGUGAGGGAUAUUGGUCAAUGGGCGCAGGCCUGAACCAGCCAAGUAGCGUGAAGGAUGACUGCCCUAUGGGUUGUAAACUUCUUUUAUAAAGGAAUAAAGUCGGGUAUGUAUACCCGUUUGCAUGUACUUUAUGAAUAAGGAUCGGCUAACUCCGUGCCAGCAGCCGCGGUAAUACGGAGGAUCCGAGCGUUAUCCGGAUUUAUUGGGUUUAAAGGGAGCGUAGAUGGAUGUUUAAGUCAGUUGUGAAAGUUUGCGGCUCAACCGUAAAAUUGCAGUUGAUACUGGAUAUCUUGAGUGCAGUUGAGGCAGGCGGAAUUCGUGGUGUAGCGGUGAAAUGCUUAGAUAUCACGAAGAACUCCGAUUGCGAAGGCAGCCUGCUAAGCUGCAACUGACAUUGAGGCUCGAAAGUGUGGGUAUCAAACAGGAUUAGAUACCCUGGUAGUCCACACGGUAAACGAUGAAUACUCGCUGUUUGCGAUAUACGGCAAGCGGCCAAGCGAAAGCGUUAAGUAUUCCACCUGGGGAGUACGCCGGCAACGGUGAAACUCAAAGGAAUUGACGGGGG
rnacentral:rRNA from 1 species